rnacentral:rRNA from 1 species
AUUGAACGCUGGCGGCAUGCCUUACACAUGCAAGUCGAACGGUAACGCGGGGCAACCUGGUGGCGAGUGGCGAACGGGUGAGUAAUGCAUCGGAACGUACCUUUUAGUGGGGGAUAACUAUCCGAAAGGAUAGCUAAUACCGCAUACGCCCUGAGGGGGAAAGCAGGGGAUCGCAAGACCUUGCGCUAAUAGAGCGGCCGAUGUUCGAUUAGCUAGUUGGUGGGGUAAAGGCUCACCAAGGCGACGAUCGAUAGCUGGUCUGAGAGGAUGAUCAGCCACACUGGAACUGAGACACGGUCCAGACUCCUACGGGAGGCAGCAGUGGGGAAUAUUGGACAAUGGGCGGAAGCCUGAUCCAGCCAUGCCGCGUGUGUGAAGAAGGCCUUUUGGUUGUAAAGCACUUUAAGCGAGGAGGAGGCUCUUAAGGUUAAUACCCUUGAUGAGUGGACGUUACUCGCAGAAUAAGCACCGGCUAACUCUGUGCCAGCAGCCGCCGUAAGAC